rnacentral:rRNA from 1 species
AGGAAUAUUGGUCAAUGGGCGCAGGCCUGAACCAGCCAAGUAGCGUGAAGGAUGACUGCCCUAUGGGUUGUAAACUUCUUUUAUAAAGGAAUAAAGUCGGGUAUGUAUACCCGUUUGCAUGUACUUUAUGAAUAAGGAUCGGCUAACUCCGUGCCAGCAGCCGCGGUAAUACGGAGGAUCCGAGCGUUAUCCGGAUUUAUUGGGUUUAAAGGGAGCGUAGAUGGAUGUUUAAGUCAGUUGUGAAAGUUUGCGGCUCAACCGUAAAAUUGCAGUUGAUACUGGAUAUCUUGAGUGCAGUUGAGGCAGGCGGAAUUCGUGGUGUAGCGGUGAAAUGCUUAGAUAUCACGAAGAACUCCGAUUGCGAAGGCAGCCUGCUAAGCUGCAACUGACAUUGAGGCUCGAAAGUGUGGGUAUCAAACAGGAUUAGAUACCCUGGUAGUCCACACGGUAAACGAUGAAUACUCGCUGUUUGCGAUAUACUGCAAGCGGCCAAGCGAAAGCGUUAAGUAUUCCACCUGGGGAGUACGCCGGCAACGGUGAAACUCAAAGGAAUUGACGGGGGCCCGCACAAGCGGAGGAACAUGUGGUUUAAUUCGAUGAUACGCGAGGAACCUUACCCGGGCUUAAAUUGCAGAUGAAUUACGGUGAAAGCCGUAAGCCGCAAGGCAUCUGUGAAGGUGCUGCAUGGUUGUCGUCAGCUCGUGCCGUGAGGUGUCGGCUUAAGUGCCAUAACGAGCGCAACCCUUGUUGUCAGUUACUAACAGGUUCCGCUGAGGACUCUGUCGAGACUGCCGUCGUAAGAUGUGAGGAAGGUGGGGAUGACGUCAAAUCAGCACGGCCCUUACGUCCGGGGCUACACACGUGUUACAAUGGGGGGUACAGAAGGCAGCUACACGGCGACGUGAUGCUAAUCCCGAAAGCCUCUCUCAGUUCGGAUUGGAGUCUGCAACCCGACUCCAUGAAGCUGGAUUCGCUAGUAAUCGCGCAUCAGCCACGGCGCGGUGAAUACGUUCCCG